AAGUAAAGUGUAACCGAACGAUGUAUGAACAUUUUUUUUGUGCUAACGUUUUGAGAAUGUUAUUAAAGACCGAACAACUUUGAAUCGAAUGCCCUGUUAACAUUACCAGAAUAAUGUUUGUUGAUAACAUUGAGAGAACCUUGCCAGAACGUUAACAGAACAUUCCCUGUUAGCUGGUCUUAUGUUGAUGGCUGCCCUCUGUGUUUCUGUUCCUCUCAGCAUAUGGGAUGUAUAAUAACCUGUCAACAUCUGGUGGUGCACUCAUGGCUAAUGGAAUCAGUGCUGGCCCAGGUAAACUCAACCUUGUCUCUGUAUAAUGACUUUAAUACACUGAUGCAGUGCAUGCAAAUAACUAUAGUAAAAGAUUUAUGAUGUCUGUUUGUACUUCCAGUGUAUGGGGCACAGAAGAAUGUUGGCAGCGCUGGAUUGGCCACCACUGUUACUAGUAAUAAUAAUUGUACUUAAAAAUGUGUCAGAUUAAAACAUUGCAACAUUACCAAAUGAAAAUAUCUUAUUUUUCAUGUCACAUUCACAGCUUUUCCCAGCAGCCCUAUCACCGCUGAUGACGUGUUUGUGAAAGAUGGCAAGUUUAUUGCGAUUGCAAAAGAAAAUGUAGCAGCUAAGAAAGAGAGUGAGAGACUGAUCAUGUCCAAAAACACUGGCAAACUGUUCACCACUUCCACCACCAGUGCUGGAGCAGAUUCUGAAGAUUCGCUCAAGAGGGAGAAAAAGAUGAUCUCCAGCACUACAGAAUCCACAAUGACUGGUGCAUUCAGAUAAAGUCACUUACUGUAUAUUAUUUAAUUAAUAGUAAAAUCCUCCCUUAAAUUACAUCCAAUAAAACCAUAAUUUAUGUGUUUUCAGCUUCCAGAGCCGCAACAAAAGACAAGUCAACCUAUGCAGGUUAUAGAAAAACUUUCAUAAACAUCAACUCAUUCAGCAAUGAUGGCCUGUUGAAUCUGGUUUUGUUCAUAGUCUCAUAUUCUAAUGUCACAACAGAGAUCCGUAAAGAUGAGUCUGACGACGCAGGACUAGGGUUCUGUUCCUGCUGCUCGUGGUGGAAGUGGCUUCUAGCACUGAUCUUAGGUCUUCUCCUUCUGCUGGGACUCCUCUGUGGUCUCAUCGCACUGGGUGAGGAGGUCCGGAAGCUGAAGGCUCGUGUGGACGCUAUUGAUGGCGGAGAAAGCGCAGUCUCUGCUCGAAUCAGUAGUUUUUCCGCCUCCUCGGCUGUCAACAUCAUUGAUCCACUGGAGUCUUCAUACGCUGAGCGCAUCCCUGGCGUCCGUGCCGAUAACACUAUAAACCUGGGUUCAGCAUCUGCUGCACAAGACCCUGUGGUUCUGCAGAGGGCCAUCCAACAGAUCCUCAGAUCUGAACUUCAGUCGGACACCAUUAGAGGUGUUUACCAUUUAUUCAUGCUAAACAUAUGAUUUAUCCAGGUAGUUACCUAAACAUUUAUACAUUUUUAUGAUUUCAUUAUAGCUUCACUGGCAACUUCACUUAAGGGUGAGAGAGGAGAACCUGGGCCUAAAGGUAACACUUACAGCUAAAUACAUUCAGUAGAUAAAUCUGGAUAAAUACGGAGUGAAUAUGCAUUUUUACUUAUUCAUAUGUUUCAAAUGUCAUUCUAGGAGACCAAGGACCUGCUGGAGUGAAAGGUAU
ensembl:lncRNA